GCCCAGUGUGAGAAGCCACAUCUUGUGCCUUGAGUACACUGAUGCAGAAGGGUCUUUUAUUUUCAGGCAGGUAAUAGGUUCAUAGAGGACAUGACAUGGGAAUGAGCUUUGUCAGCCUUACAUAGGCAUUCCAGGUAAAGGGAGCUGCACUUCAGUCCUGGGACCUCAGAGGGAUGAGCCAGGGUUCAAGCAGCCCAUGCUUGUGUCUCACUUGCAAAGGAAGUUUGAGUUUUGUGCAGGUCUAGUGUCCUGAGCCCUGAGAUAUCUAGGCUUCAGUGAUGUCCAUGGCUACCUUCCCCUUCCCAUAGGAACCGGGCAACAAACGUGUCCUUGAGCUACGAAGCAGCACCAGUGCCCUGCACCACACUCUAGAGGAGGCAGCCUCCCUCUUGACCAUGUUCUGGCAAGCAUCUUUACCAAGCUUCCUUGGCCCUGGGCCACCUAGCAAUGUGGGUGAAUCGGAACUCCUUCAGAGCACAGUGGAGUGCCUGAAAUCCCUCCAGCAGGACAAGAGGAGGAUGGAGAAUUUCAUCAUCAACCAACUGACCAGGACACACGGUAUUCUCCAACAAGCGAAGAAGAAUCUGAAGGGUUUUAAAAAGCUGAGCCAACCAUGACCGACAACACCCAGACUAACAAUGUCAUCAA